rnacentral:rRNA from 1 species
UACGUAGGCAGCAAGCGUUGUUCGGAAUUACUGGGCGUAAAGAGUGUGUAGGCGGUGCUCUAAGUCUGUUGUGAAAUCUCCCGGCUUAACUGGGAGGGUGCGGCGGAAACUGGAGUGCUCGAGGGUGGGAGAGGUAAGCGGAAUUCCUGGUGUAGCGGUGAAAUGCGUAGAUAUCAGGAGGAACACCGGUGGUGUAGACGGCUUUCUGGACCGUAACUGACGCUGAGACACGAAAGCGUGGGUAGCAAACAGG